GACGAACGCUGGCGGCGUGCUUAACACAUGCAAGUCGAGCGGAAAGGCCACUUCGGUGGUACUCGAGCGGCGAACGGGUGAGUAACACGUGAGUAAUCUGCCCCUGGCUUUGGGAUAGCCACCGGAAACGGUGAUUAAUACCGGAUACGACCACUUCUCGCAUGGGCUGGUGGUGGAAAGUUUUUUCGGCCAGGGGUGUGCUCGCGGCCUAUCAGCUUGAUGGUGAGGUAAUGGCUCACCAGGGCUCCGACGGGUAGCCGGCCUGAGAGGGUGACCGGUCACGCUGGGACUGAGACACGGCCCAGACUCCUACGGGAGGCAGCAGUGGGGAAUAUUGGACAAUGGGCGGAAGCCUGAUCCAGCAACGCCGCGUGAGGGAUGACGGCCUUCGGGUUGUAAACCUCUUUCAGCAGGGACGAAGCGCAAGUGACGGUACCUGCAGAAGAAGCACCGGCCAACUACGUGCCAGCCGCCGCCGUAA
rnacentral:rRNA from 1 species